rnacentral:rRNA from 1 species
GACGAACGCUGGCGGCGUGCUUAACACAUGCAAGUCGAACGCCCCGCAAGGGGAGUGGCAGACGGGUGAGUAACACGUGGGAACGUACCCCUUGGUUCGGAAUAACUUGGGGAAACUCAAGCUAAUACCGGAUAAGCCCUUAUGGGGAAAGGUUUACUGCCGAAGGAUCGGCCCGCGUCUGAUCAGCUAGUUGGUGAGGUAAUGGCUCACCAAGGCGACGAUCAGUAGCUGGUCUGAGAGGAUGAUCAACCACACUGGGACUGAGACACGGCCCAGACUCCUACGGGAGGCAGCAGUGGGGAAUAUUGGACAAUGGGGGCAACCCUGAUCCAGCCAUGCCGCGUGAGUGAUGAAGGCCUUAGGGUUGUAAAGCUCUUUUACCCGGGACGAUAAUGACUGUACCGGGAGAAUAAGCCCCGGCUAACUUCGUGCCAGCAGCCGCCGUAA